rnacentral:lncRNA from 1 species
GGGGUAUUGGUUGUAUGUCCUAGAGCGAUUGAGGCAAAAUAUUGAAAAGAAAAAAAGGAAAUGUGCAUUGGAGACGCGGGCCUGCGAUCUCAUCGCCUCUGCGAAGCGGGCGACUUGGCCGGCUCCGCUGCGCCGACGGGCGUCGAAGGGCGUUGCGUUUCAUGUGUGUGUUCUGUAUCGCUGGAUGGGCCCGGCUUUGUGCCCAAGUUUCUCGUGGACAAGGGCCCAUUCGCUCAAGCCCCUUUAGGGUUUUUAUCAUCUAUAUACAAGCUACCGAGUGGGCCAUGACUCAUUCGGAGAACGAUUUGGAG